rnacentral:misc_RNA from 1 species
AAGUUGUAACAAGGUCUCUGUUGGUGAACUAGCGGAGGGAUUAUUAUAGAGUUGCAAAACUCCUAUCACUAUUGCAAACUUACCUUACACCCGUUGCUUUAGCAGGCAGCCCUAGGCUUCUGUUUUCAUAGAUCCUUAGGGCCCUAUAGCCUGAUUGUCAGGUGCCUGCCAGAGGUCAUGCAACUAGACAUUGUUUAUAGCCUGUUAGAAUUUGUACUACCAAUUAGUCAAAACUUUCAACAACAGAUCUCUUAGUUCUA